CCUACGGGAGGCAGCAGUGGGGGAUAUUGCACAAUGGGGGAAACCCUGAUGCAGCGACGCCGCGUGUAGGAAGACGGUCCUCUGGAUUGUAAACUACUGUCCCCAGGGACGAAGAUGACGGUACCGGGGGAGGAAGCUCCGGCUAACUACGUGCCAGCAGCCGCGGUAAGGCGUAGGGAGCGAGCGUUGUCCGGAUUUACUGGGUGUAAAGGGAGCGUAGGCGGGGAUGCAAGUUGGGUGUUAAAUCUACCGGCUCAACUGGUAGUCGCACUCAAAACUGCAGCUCUUGAGUGAAGUAGAGGCAGGCGGAAUGCCUGGUGUAGCGGUGAAAUGCGUAGAUAUUAGGAGGAACACCAGUGGCGAAGGCGGCCUGCUGGGCUUUUACUGACGCUGAGGCUCGAAAGUGUGGGGAGCAAACAGGAUUAGAUACCCUAGUAGUC
rnacentral:rRNA from 1 species